UACGUAGGGUGCGAGCGUUAAUCGGAAUUACUGGGCGUAAAGCGUGCGCAGGCGGCGCGUUAAGACAGGUGUGAAAGCCCCGAGCUUAACUUGGGAAUUGCGCUUGUGACUGGCGAGCUGGAGUGUGGCAGAGGGAGGUGGAAUUCCACGUGUAGCAGUGAAAUGCGUAGAGAUGUGGAGGAACACCGAUGGCGAAGGCAGCCUCCUGGGCCAGCACUGACGCUGAGGAGCGAAAGCCAGGGGAGCAAACGGG
rnacentral:rRNA from 1 species